rnacentral:rRNA from 1 species
AACGAACGCUGGCGGCAUGCCUAACACAUGCAAGUCGAACGAAACCGUCGUGCCUUGGGGCGCACGGGGGCGUAACGCGGGGGAACCUGCCCGUAGGUUCCGAAUAACUCCCCUAAAGGGGUGCUAAUACAGGUGAAGGUCUUCGGACCUACGAUUUAUCGCGGUUGGCUGGGCCCGGGUUGGCUUAGCUAGUUGGUAGGGUAAAAGCCUAUCAUGGCGACGUUCCAGAGCUGGUCGGGGAGGAUGCCCCGCCACACUUGGACUGAGACCCGGCCUAGUCUGCUACGGGAGGCAGCAGUGGGGAAUACUGGGCGAUGAGCCAUAGCCUGAUCCAGCCAUGCCGCGUGAGUGGUGAAGGCCGUUGUAUUGCAAAGCUCUUUUACCCGAGGUGAUAAUGACAGUACCGGGAGAAUAAGCACCGGCUAACUACGUG